GGUAGCGUGGGAUAGUGGUUUGAGCAUUGGACUAGGACUCUGGAGACCAGGGUUCAAAUCCCAGCUCAGCAA